AACGAACGCUGGCGGCAGGCCUAACACAUGCAAGUCGAGCGCCCAGCAGUGGGAGCGGCAGACGGGUGAGUAACGCGUGGGAACCUUCCCGAUAGUACGGAAUAGCCCAGGGAAACUUGGAGUAAUACCGUAUACGCCCGCAAGGGGAAAGAUUUAUCGCUAUCGGAUGGGCCCGCGUAGGAUUAGCUAGUUGGUGGGGUAAUGGCUCACCAAGGCGACGAUCCUUAGCUGGUUUGAGAGAAUGACCAGCCACACUGGGACUGAGACCACGGCUCAGACUCCUACGGGAGGCAGCAGUGGGGAAUCUUGGACAAUGGGCGCAAGCCUGAUCCAGCCAUGCCGCGUGAGUGACGAAGGUCUUCGGAUUGUAAAGCUCUUUUGCCAGGGACGAUAAUGACGGUACCUGGAGAAUAAGCCCCGGCUAACUUCGUGCCAGCCGCCGCGGUAA
rnacentral:rRNA from 1 species